rnacentral:piRNA from 1 species
UGUGUGUCCGUGAGCUAAAUUUUCCUGGU